GGAGAUAGAGACAUUAAUAGCUUCUAUGUUGUUUGGAAAAGAUAGACAUUAAUAGAAAAAGAUAGACAUUAAUAGAAAAAGAUCUAGAGAAAGUUACAUCAGCUACUUUGAGUUACGAUGAUUAUGCAGCUACAUUUCAAAGUGAAACCCUUCUUUUCGAACCUGCAGAUGAUUUCACCGACCUGAAAUACCAAAAAUCGACAUUUUUUUUAAUCAAAAGUAAACCUAGAAUUUUUGUUCUGUAUAACAAAAUGCCGACAAGUAAUCAAGUAACUUAAACUUGGAACUUUGAAUUGAUGCAUAAACAAGUAAACCCAGAAGACUAAAAUCCACAAAAGUUGAAAUUCAACUUCAAUCCAUGUCUGUAAAAGCUAAGAGCUAAAAGAAAUUUGAAGAAAAGAGAGUGGAGAAGCUCGCCUGUGUGAUAAGCCGCCGGAAUGACUCGCCGGGGACAGAGAAUCCGAUCGUCGGAGUCUCGCCGGAGAGAGAAAUAGCUCG
rnacentral:lncRNA from 1 species